rnacentral:tRNA from 1 species
UCAGUGGCUCAGUGGAAGAGAAUCAGCUUUGCAAGCAAAAGCUCAUAGGUUCAAUCCCUGGCUUCUCAA